AUGAUGUUGUAUGGCAACGUCUUCUUGGAGGAUGGAUAAAAAUAUCAAGUCUGGGAAGAUAGAGUAGUAAUUUUUGCUGUCCCUAUAGAAGAAAAAGUAAGGGGAGGAGAUUGCAAACCAGAACACAUGGGCUUUAUAGAAAUGAUUAGGCUUCUUGUCAAAGGAAGCCAGCUGUGAACAAUUCUGUAUCAUGACCCAAGCUUUUUUCUGGUACCAGCUUAGCUGUAAUUUGGCCAGGUCAGUCACUGAAGCAAGGUGGGCUUAAAGAAAGGGAUUUGUCCCAUGUGGUUUCCUAGUGCUGGGAAAAACCUGAUGCUGCUGGUGAGGAGGAAAUGGUAUAAUAAACAGAUAUGUUAAAGAGAGAUUGAGACCAAGAGAGUGCUGUUUACCUGUGGGAACAAGUGAGGCGUUAAGAAGAUGUUUCUAUUGGAAGAAACAUACUGGAAUUUAACUAUGUACAAAGAUUUCAUCAAAUCUGGCUCGGCAGAGAGAUAAAAGCAGUAAAGAGGGUAGUUUUGUUUGUGAAUCUGGCUGACCAAAGUCCCAAGGGCCUGCCACAAGAAAGAAAGCUUCUCCACUGGUUAAAAACAACUUUUCCACUGGAUGUGCUGGGAAACAUCUUACUGAAUGAAGCAACUUUUCUAAAGAGGGGGCAGCUUUGUGGUAUAAUUCUGCUGACUACACUGAACUUCUACCUCAGAAAGAUUCUGACCCCCCACCUUCUGCCUUUGCUAUCAUAAAAGCAUCUGCUUUUUACUGGAUGGUUGAAUCUUCAUGGGUUUCUUGCAAGAAUGGUCUUACUCUGAGAGACAAGACUUCAAGAGAAUUCUCUACAUGGCAGCAAAUUGCAAAGAAUAUAUCACUAAAGCAUUUUUGAUACAAGCAAAGAAGAGAAACUAGUCAUUAUACACUCUGCUGUUUGAAUAGCCCAAGAAGGUAAAUUUAAAGAGCAAAGACUAUAGCUUCCAUUUCAGAACAUCAGCAGUGUGAGGUCCUCAAAGUCAUACUAAGACAAGAUCUACCACUUCAGCAGUCAAAUUUAGUUUCGUCUAAGGUCAUUGCAAGGGUCAUACAUGUUUUGUAAACAGAAGUUACCUAAAAUUGGAAUUUGCCAUCUUAUCCAUCCAGCUGCUGAGGUUUAGUUAUAAAGGAACACUGGUAUGAAUAAUUCCAUGUCUGAACUAACAGAACAAAACCGAAACUGAUGAGGUUUUGCAACACCAAACCUGCCUGUCAUAGCAGAGGUAAGAAUAAACUGAACCACUUUAUUUGAGUCCCAAAUUGUGGUGCUUUGGAUGAACAGAGACCAAGGCCAGGCUAGCCACAGAAAGUUCAGUGCAGCCACCCAGGUCAGAAUCCAGGCACAACAGUGAGGAUGAUUGUUUAAAGUUUCUGAAAAGAGAAUUGAAGUAUCUCUCAUGCCCAGAAAGCUGGCUUUCUGUUGAGAGGAACCCUAAGUGUUGACAUCAUGAUACCCAGCUGUAGGCACUACAUCUGCAGAACAAGUUCUCUCCUUUGCCAGUCACAGCAGGGCACUGUAACUAACUGUUUUUGGAAGCAAUAACCUCACCCAUAAUUAGUGGCUGAGUGGCUACACAUACAAAAUACUCUUUUAACAUUCUUUCCUUGCAUUAAUUCUCCUACUGCACAGACAAGAAUAAGUGACCUUCAGGUUUCAUUUGGAUUUAUUUAUCUCCUGACCACUUGAAUCUUGUGGCCAUUUAUCUCACGGCCUGGGAA